ACACAAAACCAACAGGACUCCCUGAGGACUGUCUGAUGUCUGGCUGUGGGUCUCUUUCAUCUGUUUCCACCUGCUUCUGGAAAAGCCUCUCAGGAGACAAUUAUGCUAGGCUUCUGUCUGAAAACAUAUCGUUAAUAGUGUCAGAGAUUGGUUCUCUUACAUGGAAUGUGUCUCAAGUUGGGCCAAUCAUUGGUGAGUUGUUCUCUCAAUCUCUGCUCCAUCUUUAUCCUUGUACAUCUUGUAGGCAGGACAAAUUUUAUGUUGAAAGUUUUGUGUGUGGGUUGAUGCCCCCUGUCCUCUACUUGAAGUCCUAGCUACAGGAGGUGACCACUUCAGCCUCCAUUUCCCCUCCUGGUAGGAGUCUCAGCUAAGGUCAUACCUGCUUCCCUUUCUGAGUGAGAUUCACAUAUCCUUUCUGAGCCCUCCUUAUUACCUAGUUUCUUUGGGUUUGUGGACUAUAGCAUGGAUAUUCUAUACACUAUAGUUACUCCUCAGUUGUACAUGAAUAUAUACUAUUUGUGUCUUUCUGGGUUUAGGUUACCUCACUCAGGAUGAUAUUUUCAAUUGAAGACUUAUCAUUUUGUAACUCAGCCAAUUUGAUUUAAAUUUAAAUUAAUUUAUGUUAGAAACCUAAAUGAACUCUAUGAACUGUGUGUGAAGCUGGAAGGAGAAAAUGAGAGGAAGCUAGAGAAGAAAGAAUGACAAGUGUAUUAUACACACACACACACACACACAUCAUAUAUCAUAUAUAUGUACAUAUAUAUGAUAAAAUGCUUAAUAAUAAUAAUAAUAAUAAUAAUAAUAAUAAUAAUAACAAACAAAAGCUUGGACCUCAGAUAGUGGUACUAUUGGAAGAUAGCUUUAUCAGAUAGAGGAAACAUUAUUGGGUACUUCGAAGUGCGCACUUAGAGAGGAUGCUAGGAUACUGCUUCCACCCAAUUUCUCUCUUUUUCUCUCUUACCUCUUGAGUGUGUGAUCAUCCACUGGAGCAUGGUCAGUUAACCAGGGGCCACAUUCAUAAGGAAAACUGACUCCCCUUCUCCAAAAGCUAUCAUUUGCCAAUAGUCUUUCAGGCAGUGAUUUUGUCUGGUUCCACCUUGAGCAUGUUUUAUGCAUGUGGUUAUAACUUCUGUGAGUUUGUAGGUGCAGCUACCCACUUGGUCCAGAAAAUGCUUGUAGCCAUCUACUGCCUUUGAAUCCUACACUCUUUCUAUGUUCUUUCUCAAUGAUCCCAAGCCUUGGAAGAAGAUAUGCUAUAUAUGUCCCAUUUACGGAUGAACAAUCUGUAGUUUCUUAUUCUCUUCAUCUUGACCAGCUGUAUGUUGCUAUGUUAAUUGCCAUUCUCUGAUGAGGGAUUCACUAAUCUAUAGAUAUAACAAUAAGUAAUUAGAGGUCGGUUACAUAUUAUGUUCAUUCAACAGAAUCAUAGUAGUAGGUUCUCAGCUAUGGCUCAUGACCAUUUAGCCACAGGUUCUUGGUCCCAGUGAUGUUGUCAGAUAUGGAUUUCACUUGUGGGAGUGGGUCUUGGAUCCAAUCAGAAAGUGGUUGGUUAGUCCUAUGAUAUUCAUGCCACUAUUGCAGAAGUGGUCAUGACUGGCUAUAGGACAUUAUUUUAACUCACAGGGAUGACUUAAGUCUGGGUAAGAUUGAUGAUUCCUUUUCUACUCUCAGAGUAUACAAAUUUUUUUUUUCAGAACUAUGAAAGCUAGCCAUCAGGGAAGAACUAUCCAUAUUAAUAGAAGCUUAAUUUUUUUAUGUUCUAUAACUCAAGUAUGUGAUAUCUUCAACAACAGGGUCUUGGCAAGUUGUAGAAGGUUAUCAAGAGCAGUGUUAAUAGAUUUGAUGUUUGGCAACCUUUGAAAGCUUACUGGCCUUAAACUCUAAAUGUAGUAAUCUGUUCUCGGCACUGGGGAUUUUAUGGGCUAGCCUGAGCUGUCUGUUAGGGACACCGUUACCCCAUUACAGAAGAAUGCCAUUUACAUAUGUAUAUAUUAAGCUUCUAUAGUAAUGGGUUUCUAUAUGACUUUUUCAAAAUAUCUUUAGAGUUAGUUAUCCCAUUCUCUUCCUUACUGUACUCUGUGCUUUCAUCCCCAGUCCCAUUUAACUCUUACUGUUUCAUUAUUCCCAUCUACCACUUUAUAUCAUUACUUUCUUUUCUCCCUCAUCACCCCUUACUUACGCUUGUACGUGUUCACAAUGAAACACAGACAUACCUGAAGAUUUAAUACUAGCACCCACAUAUAAGAGAAACAAACAAAAUUAUAUAUUAGACAAAUGUAUGAUAUUAUUAAUUCUGUGUUAUAUAUAUCUAUUACCAUAUUUCACAAAAAUUAGUAAGAUGAACUCUAUGUCCUGCUCCAGUGAAAGUGACUGCGGGCACUUACAAGAAGAAAUUUAUUUUGCACUUGCAGUCAUAUGUAUACACAUAUGUAUGUAAUUGAAAUAAAACAUUUCUAAAGCCAAUCAGAGUAUUUUUCUUUCAUUCUAUUCUAUUCUAUUCUAUUCUAUUCUAUUCUAUUCUAUUCUAUCUAAAGAAAUGCUGAUCAAAGCUCUCCCCACUGAUUGGCAGACCCACUAAUGGGCAGUGCUCUCAAUUUGAAAAAGAUCUAGGAUUAAACUAGGAAAUGGAUUGAGCUCGUGGGUCCCCUUUUCCCAGGUGGGGGUACUUCUUAGAUUACAUUUCAAGUGUAUUUGAAACAGAGCCUUCUCUAGUCUUCAAAAUGCUGGUGGGUGGGAAAGCAUUAGCUAGGACAGGUCAUGUUGCCUGGCUUGAGGAGAGGCAGCUGCUGAUGCCCAGGCUUAGGAGGGGGAAAUAUAAGGGACGCCAUGCCUCCUGUGAAUGAGGCCCACCGAGAGUAAACAAAAGGGUUUGGAGGCCAUGCCUCUAGCUGGGAAGUUUGGGUGGCUUUUUAUCCAAUAGCUUUGCAAAUCUUUGUAUAGUCAGCCCAUUCCCAUUACAAAUUUCGUCCAGUCUACUCAUGUCCUGGUAAUCAGUCUUUAGUUUCUUUGGUCUCAGCGUUUUAUAUGUGGAAGUUUCCCCGCACGCCCUUCUCUCUCUCAGUUCCUUUUGACAGCAAAAGCCUGAUUUAAACAGGCUUUUAUUCUCUGUCCAUCUUCUCCCAAACAUCUCUUACCAGGUCCUAAUAUUAAUUCUCAUAUCAAAGAGGUAUGAUGAUCCUCCCCAUCCAAUGACCCUCUUCCACAUGCUCUCCACUGCCAUGUGUUACAGUGUAUCUGGAUUAAUUAUUCAUAUUUUAUCUUAAUGUGCACGCUCACAUAGAACAAGCAUUUGCAUCUUAGUGUUUUAACUCUCCUAACACAUUUAUUCAUUUAUUUGCUGAAUAAGUAAAGUCAUAUAAAACACAGUUUUAUAAAAACAAAGUAUUUUGUAAAUGCUCAUUUUGUGCUGAUAUUAUAUAUUAUUAAACUUUUUUUGAACCACCCUCUUCAACCACAAGAAGGUUUGUGGGUUAAAAGCAAAUUUGUUAUUUGUUAUAUAUUAUGAUAUUGAAGUUCUGAGUGGGUGAGGAAGCUAUUUGGGUUCACAUUGCUGGUAGGGAAGGGCAAGUACCCAGGUUUUGAUUUUAAGUAGUCCAUAGUUCAUGGGAUGUGUAGGAACUCUUCUAACCUUGUCUUCAUUAUGACCUCCAAGCACUUCACUGAGUUGUGAUUAUUUUUUUUUAUAAAUAAUAAUAGAAAUCGUAUCCUCUGAGGCUUUUAGAUACUCUGAAUAUAGUAAUAGGAUUCAGGAAUAGGAUAUUUCCUUAGACUUUGUUUAACCAUACCAUCUGAUCAUAUAGAAUUUGAACCACAAUGCCUAAAUAUAUCAAGGAGAUGACAUGUGUUUGUGUCGACACACAUCCUGCAGCUGAGAAAUUCAUAUACAUUAAGAGCUGGUUCUGUAUAAUUCACGUUAUUUACUAGUGCAAUUUUACCGGCCCUCCAAACAUCAUUGAGUGCUCUACUAUAAAUAUGCCUUCAGACCUUUUCCAAACCACUAGUCAUUUGCCCAGCGGGCCAUAAAAGCAAUGUAUCAUGUAACCAUGUAUUGGAUGAAAUUUCAAAAGCUCUCCAUUUAGACAGCAGGCCUUAGUGGGUUUGGGGGUCUGUAACAUUAUCCAUUUAAUUAUACAUUUGGGCAC
rnacentral:lncRNA from 1 species